CGAAUACCUUAUGACCGCACAUUUGUCCGAUUAGGCCUUGUUAUUUUUCCCCCACCGUUUCGUUGCUUCCUCCCCCACCGCAUAAUUCUUCUCUGCUGCCAAUCCAUGAACCACAACACGAAUCCGACCGCCUCUUCUUUCUCCUCCAUUUUCACGGUUCCACCCCAACAUCUUCGAUCCGUAUUCGUGUAGGUCAUUUCAAACGGAUUUCAAGCUGGGUUGCAGAGAUUUGAUUCAAAUUUGUUGAUUUGGGGGAGUGCUGAUAAACUGAUUUUCUGGGAUUUUUGGUCUUUGAAAUGGGUUGGAAAGGCUCGAGAUGUUGGUGUCAAUAGAAAUGUGCUUUCCCCAAAGUUUCAGAUGCUUUGAAGUGUAUCCAAGAUUUGGCAGAGGGUGUGCUUCAGUGUAUCAUUUUGAUAGCGUUUGGUGAUCUUCAGUGAUCAAUGUAGAAGAAAAAGAUUUACAAGACAAUGAGCAUCGUACCAAUAUGUGAAUUAAAGCCUCUUAGAAAUGAUAUGAAAAUCAAAGUUAGAAUAUGUCAGAUGUGGACACCAAAUAUAUUUGGAUGUCAAAACCAGUUCAAUGGCUCACAAUGUGUACUAUUUGAUGAACUGGUUAGAAAACCAUUUUGUUUAAAUGUAAUAUAGUUAAAACUAUAAUUUCAAAAACAAAGACAAAGCUAUAAUUAACUCUUUAUAAUUUUUAUAAUGCAAAAUGAUGCUUGAAGCCUCGGUCUUAGAA